rnacentral:rRNA from 1 species
AUUGAACGCUGGCGGCAGGCCUAACACAUGCAAGUCGAGCGGAGGACGGGAGCUUGCUCCUGGAACCAGCGGCGGACGGCUGAGUAAUGCCUAAGACUUCGCCUGCUAGUGGUGGGUAACGUCCGGCAACGGGCGCUAAACCCGCAUACGUCAUGCGGGCGACAGUUGGGAGCCUUCGGACUUCACACUAUCAGCUAAGCCUAGGUCGGAUUAGCUAGUUGGUGGGGUAAAGGCCUACCAAGGCGACGAUCCGUAACUGGUCUGAGAGGAUGAUCAGUCACACUGGAACUGAGACACGGUCCAGACUCCUACGGGAGGCAGCAGUGGGGAAUAUUGGACAAUGGGCGCAAGCCUGAUCCAGCCAUACCGCGUGGGUGAAGAAGGCCUUCGGGUUGUAAAGCCCUUUUGGUGGGAAAGAAAAGCAGCAAGUUAAUACCCCGCUGUUCUGACGGUACCCAAAGAAUAAGCACCGGCUAACUUCGUG